GGGGGGAUAUUGCUGCAUGCACUGUAGCUGCGGAGAUCUGUUCUCUUUCUUUUCUUUCUUUUCUUUUUAGUAUUUUUGUCUAUUUGUUUGUUUACUUUUGUUCCGAUCGUGUUUUAUUGCUGACUUUGAUAUUGCGGGUCUGGGUUUGGGGCGCGGAGAGCUUCUGACGUCAUCUUUUGGUGCAUUUGUUUUUAUCGGAGGAAGGGCGGGAUAAAUCAGGAUCAGGACAUUAUUUCUUUCCAAAGGUACGGAUUUUGAAGAUGGACAUAGGAGUCGGUCGCGGUGAAACAAACGUCCAAAUGAGUUCACCAACUUGAAGGCACAUCGCAGACGACCCGCAGACGUCUAUUGAUUAUAAGUUCUUAUCCUUCUUAUAUCCAUACAAUCCAUACGCGGGUCUUAUAUACUCGACACUGGUGGACGAAAGUAUGUCUAUCCGGCCACAAUACAUUUCCGACGACUGAUUCCUCUCUGCAUGAUCACGGUAUACUGUACAUACACACGAGCUUUACGAAGUGAUGAUGAGAGAUGGGAAAUGAAAUGAAUUCAAGUUGGGCGUUAGCAGGGGAAUGCUUUACUGUAUGGUAUGUGUGGGGUGUGUGAUUUUGAUCCCAAUGCUAGAAAUUUCGAUUCUUUGAAGUUCACUUUUAACAACAGUUGAAUCUAUUCAUACACUCCUAAUAUCAACCUUCCGUGUACAUUUAUUUACAAUCCAUUUGCAAUAAUCCAUAA
rnacentral:sRNA from 1 species